GAGUGAACGCUGGCGGUAGGCCUAACACAUGCAAGUCGAACGGCAGCACAGUAAGAGCUUGCUCUUACGGGUGGCGAGUGGCGGACGGGUGAGGAAUACAUCGGAAUCUACUUUUUCGUGGGGGAUAACGUAGGGAAACUUACGCUAAUACCGCAUACGACCUACGGGUGAAAGCAGGGGAUCUUCGGACCUUGCGCGAUUGAAUGAGCCGAUGUCGGAUUAGCUAGUUGGCGGGGUAAAGGCCCACCAAGGCGACGAUCCGUAGCUGGUCUGAGAGGAUGAUCAGCCACACUGGAACUGAGACACGGUCCAGACUCCUACGGGAGGCAGCAGUGGGGAAUAUUGGACAAUGGGCGUAAGCCUGAUCCAGCCAUACCGCGUGGGUGAAGAAGGCCUUCGGGUUGUAAAGCCCUUUUGUUGGGAAAGAAAAGCAGCAGGUUAAUACCCCGCUGUUCUGACGGUACCCAAAGAAUAAGCACCGGCUAACUUCGUG
rnacentral:rRNA from 1 species